GUGAGGAAUAUUGGACAAUGGGGGGAACCCUGAUCCAGCCAUGCCGCGUGUGUGAAGAAGGCCUUUUGGUUGUAAAGCACUUUAAGCGAGGAGGAGGCUACCGAGAUUAAUACUCUUGGAUAGUGGACGUUACUCGCAGAAUAAGCACCGGCUAACUCUGUGCCAGCAGCCGCGGUAAUACAGAGGGUGCAAGCGUUAAUCGGAUUUACUGGGCGUAAAGCGCGCGUAGGUGGCCAAUUAAGUCAAAUGUGAAAUCCCCGAGCUUAACUUGGGAAUUGCAGUCGAUACUGGUUGGCUAGAGUAUGGGAGAGGAUGGUAGAAUUCCAGGUGUAGCGGUGAAAUGCGUAGAGAUCUGGAGGAAUACCGAUGGCGAAGGCAGCCAUCUGGCCUAAUACUGACACUGAGGUGCGAAAGCAUGGGGAGCAAACAGGAUUAGAAACCCGAGUAGUCC
rnacentral:rRNA from 1 species